GUGCCCCCGCUGUGGAGAAGCGUGGGGAGCCCCAGGGUAGGCUCCUGCCGGGCCCGCGGGGCCCAGGCAGCUGCGCAGCCCCAAGGCCGCGGCCCGCGGACAACUGCUUAAGCCAAUGGUAAUCCUGAGCAGAGCUGAAUGGCGUUGUCUAGGCUGCACCAGGCAUCCAGAACUGGGCCAAAUCCCAGGGAAAUGAUGAUCAGUGUUCCACUGCACACAUCCCUCAGCUUUUCUGAAGAGUACUCCUGCUCCUAAGGCUGGAUGUCCUUGUAAGCUUAAGCUUCUACAUGGCCACAAGUAAUUUCAGCCUCAAUUUGUGAAAGGGCAAAAUCAGAUGUAUGACAGAGGUGUUCUCCUGCAUUAAAAGGGAUUCACUUGUG